AGCGUGGAGACAGGUGGUGCAUGGCUGUCGUCAGCUCGUGUCGUGAGAUGCUGGGUUAAGUCCCGCAACGAGCGCAACCCUCACCUCUUGUUGCCAUCAGGUCAUGCUGGGCACUCUAGAGGAACUGCCCCGGUCAACGGGGAGGAAGGCGGGGAUGACGUCAAGUCAUCAUGCCCCUUACGUCCUGGGCUACACACGUGCUACAAUGGCCGGUACAAAGGGAUGCCACACCGCGAGGUAGAGCUAAACCCAAAAAGCCGGUCUAAGUUCAGAUUGGAGUCUGCAACUCGACUCCAUGAAGGAGGAAUCGCUAGUAAUCGCGUAUCAGCACGACGCGGUGAAUACGUUCCCGGGCCUUGUACACACCGCCCGUCACACCACGAAAGCCUGCUGUACUCGAAGUCGCUGAG
rnacentral:rRNA from 1 species